GACGAACGCUGGCGGCGUGCUUAACACAUGCAAGUCGAACGGAAAGGCCCUGCUUUUGUGGGGUUCUCGAUUGGCGAACGGGUGAGUAACACGUGAGUAACCUGCCCUUGACUUUGGGAUAACUUCAGGAAACUGGGGCUAAUACCGGAUAGGAGCUCCUGCUGCAUGGUGGGGGUUGGAAAGUUUCGGCGGUUGGGGCUGGACUCGCGGCUUAUCAGCUUGUUGGUGGGGUAGUGGCUUACCAAGGCUUUGACGGGUAGCCGGCCUGAGAGGGUGACCGGCCACAUUGGGACUGAGAUACGGCCCAGACGGCUACGGGAGGCAACAGGGGGGAAUAUUGCAGAAUGGGCGGAAGCCUGAUGCAGCAAUGCCGCGUGCGGGAUGACGGGCUUCGGGUUGUAAACCGCUUUCGCCGGUGACGAAGCGUGAGUGACGGUAAUGGGUAAAGAAGCACCGGCUAACUACGUG
rnacentral:rRNA from 1 species